GACGAACGCUGGCGGCGUGCUUAACACAUGCAAGUCGAACGGAAAGGCCCUGCUUUUGUGGGGUGCUCGAGUGGCGAACGGGUGAGUAACACGUGAGUAACCUGCCCUUGACUUUGGGAUAACUUCAGGAAACUGGGGCUAAUACCGGAUAGGAGCUCCUGCUGCAUGGUGGGGGUUGGAAAGUUUCGGCGGUUGGGGAUGGACUCGCGGCUUAUCAGCUUGUUGGUGGGGUAGUGGCUUACCAAGGCUUUGACGGGUAGCCGGCCUGGGAGGGUGACCGGCCACAUUGGGACUGAGAUGCGGCCCAGACUCCUACGGGAGGCAGCAGUGGGGAAUAUUGCACAAUGGGCGGAAGCCUGAUGCAGCAACGCCGCGUGCGGGAUGACGGCCUUCGGGUUGUAAACCGCUUUCGCCUGUGACGAAGCGUGAGUGACGGAAAUGGGUAAAGAAGCACCGGCUAACUACGG
rnacentral:rRNA from 1 species